GACGAACGCUGGCGGCGUGCCUAACACAUGCAAGUCGAGCGGGAACCUCAGGAGGGGUAACCCUUCCGAGGGGAGAGCGGCGAACGGGUGAGUAACACGUGGGCAACCUGCCCCGGACACCGGGAUAACCCAGGGAAACCUGAGCUAAUACCGGAUACUCCGGCGCGAUCGCAUGGUCGCGCCGGGAAAGCUCCGACGGUCCGGGAUGGGCCCGCGGCCUAUCAGCUUGUUGGUGGGGUAACGGCCCACCAAGGCGACGACGGGUAGCUGGUCUGAGAGGACGGCCAGCCACACUGGGACUGAGACACGGCCCAGACUCCUACGGGAGGCAGCAGUGGGGGAUCUUGCGCUAAUGCGCGAAAGCGUGACGCAGCGACGCCGCGUGGGGGAUGAAGGCCUUCGGGUUGUAAACCCCUUUCGGCAGGGACGAAGGGAAACCGACGGUACCUGCAGAAGAAGUCCCGGCUAACUACGUGC
rnacentral:rRNA from 1 species